UCGCCUCACACCCCACCCCUGCAGGCACCAAUCCCAAAGUUAUUUUUGUCCUCCUCUAAUAACAAUAAGCCCAUUGUAUGUACUUCCUGACUAAUCAGCAGUGUGGGCAGGAGGAGGGAGGGGCAGGUCCAAGGACCAAGGGCUGAUCUUAGACUGAGAAUGAAGGCUGAGACGACCGGCUAAGGCAAGUGUGGGGAAGACCCCGACUCCCUGGCCUGGCCGUUGCCUCCCUACCUCCUUCGCAGCGUCUGCAAGCUCAGAUGGCCACCGGGGUCCUGCGCCAUCACAGCCAACGCCCACGUCUGGCUAGAACCGCAGAAGUACGAGGACUGGCCAGGUCCCUUCAUCGAUUCUGUCGGCAGCAAGUGUUUCCUGAGCCGGAUCCUGGGCGAGGCCCUUCACAGGCCUUGUUGCAUUUUCCCCCAUUCCCAACCCCAUGGGGUAGCUAUUCUGAGUCCACUUUCUCAGACAAGGGAGUUGAGGCUCGGAGAGAUAACGCUGCUGAACCGAAGGCAGCAGCAGAGAUGAACCAUGAACCUUCUAUCCUGUGCAAAGUGUAGGGAAUACAGCAGCAUGAGGUCCCUACCUGCUCUCGGAGAAGUUCGCAUAUCCUGGCACUCUUGGUAAACAGUCAAGUGCUGUGCACCUCCGGUCGAUGCUACUGUGAUGAAGUUCAGUGCCUUGCCAGGACAGCUCGGGGCCGAGGGAAGGCAGUGCUGCUGAGGGGUCAGCUUCCUCUCCACGUGCCGCACGCUGCCUGCCUCUCAGCCUCCCGUGGCCACAAGGGAUCACUCUUCUGAGCACAGAUGGCACUCUGCCUGGGCCUCCCGUGGCUUCUGACACCCUCUGCUGGGGAUGACAGCUGUUGGCACAGGUCGCCUAGGCACUUGAUUUCUACUGACACGAGUCUAAGAAGACGCCAUGCCUGCUCUCAAGCCCUCCCUCUAGAAGGGGAAGAGAUAAAAGUGAACAGAGCUACAUGCUCUGUGAAUCGAGAGGAGAGUCUUCAGCUCAGCUCCAAAAGGCUUCCUAAGGAGUUUACAGCCUGACCUCCGGGGACAGGCAUGCCCGGGUGCCCCCGGCCGACUAGGGGAGACCUGAGCCCCUGGCAUCACGCCUGACCCUGCCAGCCCAGCAGCUCCAGCAGCAGCCCAGCCUUUUAAGCACAGAGCCAGGGCAGACAGGCUCAUUAUGGUCUGGUGAGCAUCCCUGCACCAGGGGCAGCCCAUGAGCUUCCCAGGAAUGCUGAAGCAGAUGCGGAAAUCACAACCUUGGGGGCUGU